rnacentral:lncRNA from 1 species
CACAGUGACAUGCAGAUGAGCGCUGAGGGGUGGCUAAUUGCUCAGGGCAGGCUGACAUAAUGGAGCAGUUCUGAGAGCACCUCAGCUGCAGAGAUAUGUGCUGGCCCUCUGCUGCUGCCCUCCUGCACAGAUGCUCUCUCUCCUUCAUAGGAGGAAUCUCCCUUCAUUUCUCACCAAGAGGAGUCUGAAGAAUUGAGUGCCCAAAGAAUUUGCAUGGAAUUAUUCAUCCCGCUCAAGAUCUGCAGGAUGCUCCUUCCCUCACUGUGCACAGACCAUGCUGGGGGUGGCACAUGCAGAUGGACAGUGCUGGAGGGCACAACCGACUGCAGCGGCUCCUUGCUGCUCCCACACAGACUGUGGAUGCCAUGGGGUUACAGCUGGCCACGUCAGCAGCAGGAACGGAGCUCCGGCGUGUCCCUCUCCAUGGUGCAGGCUGGGCACAGGAGUGGUGCUUACAUAGGUGAGGAGAAAGCAUUUUUGCAACAGCAUGGAAAAUGUGUAUGAGGAGACAAGACAUCAGGCUGCCAUCAGCACAAAUGUAUCUGUGCCUUAUUUUUCUGCUUUCCUGGCUCCCAGACAAGUGCCACCAAAACCACCAAUUUUCCUGUCCUUUCUUUCCUUUGCUUUCACAAGUAUCUUAAACCAAACCCCUCCCUCCCAGCAGAAACAGGAUGCACUGCUGGGUAUAGAAUAAAAAAAUCAGUAUUUUUAAUCCCUCA